rnacentral:rRNA from 1 species
CUAUACCGAGGCCAAUGAUCGAGCCAGCUUGCUGGUGAAGUGACUGAACGAGGUUCCAGGAAAAGCCACUAAGCUUCAGCUACACACGACCGUACCGCAAACCGACACUGGUGCGCGAGAUGAGUAUUCUAAGGCGCUUGAGAGAACUCAGGAGAAGGAACUCGGCAAAUUGACACCGUAACUUCGGAAGAAGGUGUGCCCUAUUAGUGUGAAGUGAACAACGGAGCAUGAAUGGGUUGCAAAAAAUCGGUGGCUGCGACUGUUUAUUAAAAACACAGCACUCUGCAAACACGAAAGUGGACGUAUAGGGUGUGACGCCUGCCCGGUGCUGGAAGAUUAAAUGAUGGGGUGCAAGCUCUUGAUUGAAGUCCCAGUAAACGGCGGCCGUAACAAUAACGGUCCUAAGGUAGCGAAAUUCCUUGUCGGGUAAGUUCCGACCUGCACGAAUGGCGUAACGAUGGCCACACUGUCUCCUCCUGAGACUCAGCGAAGUUGAAAUGUUUGUGAUGAUGCAAUCUCCCCGCGGAAAGACGGAAAGACCCCAUGAACCUUUACUGUAGCUUUGUAUUGGACUUUGAACAGAUCUGUGUAGGAUAGGUGGGAGGCUUUGAAGCAGGGUCGCUAGAUCUUGUGGAGCCAACGUUGAAAUACCACCCUGGUGUGUUUGAGGUUCUAACCUAGGUCCAUUAUCUGGAUCGGGGACAGUGCAUGGUAGGCAGUUUGACUGGGGCGGUCUCCUCCCAAAGCGUAACGGAGGAGUUCGAAGGUACGCUAGUUACGGUCGGACAUCGUGACGAUAGUGCAAUGGCAUAAGCGUGCUUAACUGCGAGACUGACAAGUCGAGCAGAUGCGAAAGCAGGACAUAGUGAUCCGGUGGUUCUGUAUGGAAGGGCCAUCGCUCAACGGAUAAAAGGUACUCUGGGGAUAACAGGCUGAUACCGCCCAAGAGUUCAUAUCGACGGCGGUGUUUGGCACCUCGAUGUCGGCUCAUCUCAUCCUGGGGCUGUAGCCGGUCCCAAGGGUAUGGCUGUUCGCCAUUUAAAGAGGUACGUGAGCUGGGUUUAAAACGUCGUGAGACAGUUUGGUCCCUAUCUUCCGUGGGCGCUGCAGAUUUGAGGAAGCCUGCUCCUAGUACGAGAGGACCGGAGUGGACACACCUCUGGCGUAUCGGUUGUCACGCCAGUGGCAUUGCCGAGUAGCUAAGUGUGGAAGAGAUAACCGCUGAAAGCAUCUAAGCGGGAAACUCGUUUCAAGAUGAGAUCUGCCGGGGCCUCGAGCCCCCUGAAGAGUCGUUCAAGACCAGGACGUUGAUAGGUCGGGUGUGGAAGCGCAGUAAUGCGUUAAGCUAACCGAUACUAAUUGCUCGUGCGGCUUGACC